GCUGAGAGCUGAGUUAGAGAUUAACUCUCAGCUAUUUCACAAUCAUUUUGGAGUGUUAUAAUGCCUCUAAGUGUUGAAGAAAAAGAAAAAAUUAUUUUAAAUUUAGGCCGUGAUGCU
rnacentral:ncRNA from 1 species